rnacentral:rRNA from 1 species
CGCGUAGGCGGUUAGGUGAGUGUGAUGUGAAAGCCCUGGGCUUAACCUAGGAAGUGCAUCGCAAACGACCUAACUGGAGUAGAUGAGAGGGUGGUGGAAUUUCCGGUGUAGCGGUGAAAUGCGUAGAGAUCGGAAGGAACGUCAAUGGCGAAGGCAGCCACCUGGCAUCAUACUGACGCUGAGGCGCGAAAGCGUGGGGAGCGAACAGGAUUAGAUACCCUGGUAGUCCACGCUGUAAACGAUGAGGACUAGAUGUUGGUAGGGGAACCUACCUGUAUCGAAGCUAACGCGAUAAGUCUUCCGCCUGGGAAGUACGGCCGCAAAGGUUGAA